AUCAUCACAUCAUUUGCAACUGCAAGUCCGCACAACAAUAUUACCUACCGGUCAUACCCAUCAUUAUUUUUAUUUCUUUCAAUUUUUAAUUAAAAUUUCGGCAAUUUUAUUUCAAAGGAAAAAAAAAAGGAGAAAUUUCUCAGGAAUAUUACCAAAAAGCAAAAACCCUCUGUGUGUUUUGAGCUUUUGGAACACGAGCCUUGAUCUACGCCGAUGGCUACCACCAAUGGUUCUUCUCCGCGAGCUGCUGAAAACACAGAAAACAGCUUAGAGAAGAUCAAGCGUCAACUUGCUUCAUGUUCUGGCAGAAACUUGUUGCAGGGUCCUCUUCUCAAGCGAUCUGAAACCGUAAGCUGAAAUUGAAGUAAUUAGUUUCGAUUUAUAUAGGAAUGAAAUUCGAAAUGCUCAUGGUAUUAGCGGUCCAUAAUAAUUCGAUACAACUAGUUUCGAAUUGGCACAUGAUUUUGUAGCCCGUAGUAAUUCGAUUUAUUUACGAUAUAAUUAUAUAUAGAAUUUAAAUUCA